UGGGGAAUCUUGCACAAUGGGGGAAACCCUGAUGCAGCGACGCCGCGUGAGCGAUGAAGGUUUUCGAAUCGUAAAGCUCUGUCCUAUGGGAAGAUAAUGACGGUACCAUAGGAGGAAGCCCCGGCUAACUACGUGCCAGCAGCCGCGGUAAUACGUAGGGGGCGAGCGUUGUCCGGAAUUACUGGGCGUAAAGGGUUCGCAGGCGGCAUGACAAGUCCGAUGUAAAAGGCGAAAGCUCAACUUUCGUAAGCAUCGGAAACUGUCAAGCUUGAGGGAAGGAGAGGCAAGUGGAAUUCCUAGUGGAGCGGUGGAAUGCGUAGAUAUUAGGAGGAAUACCGGUGGCGAAGGCGACUUGCUGGACUUCAACUGACGCUGAGGAACGAAAGCGUGGGUAGCAAACAGG
rnacentral:rRNA from 1 species